ensembl:lncRNA
AUGCGGAGUGGGAAAAGGCUAAUGCGGAGUGGAGGAAGGUUAAUGCGGAGUGGGAAAAGGCUAAUGCGGAGUGGAGGAAGGCUAGUGCCGAGUGGAGGAAGGCUAAUGCGGAGUGGGGAAAGGCUAAUGCGAUGGGGGAAAGGCUAAUGCGGAGUGGAGGAAAGGCUAAUGCCGAGUGGAGGAAGGCUAAUGCGGAGUGGAAAAAGGUUAAAGCGGAGUGGAGGAAGGCUUAAUGCCGAGUGGAGGAAGGCUAAUGCGGAGUGGGGAAAGGCUAAUGCGGAGUGGGAGAAAGGCUAAUGCCGAGUGGAGGAAGGCUAAUGCGGAGUGGAGGAAGGCUAAUGCGGAGUGGAGGAAGGCUAAUGCGGAGUGGGGAAAGGCUAAUGCGGAGUGGGGAAAGGCUAAUGCGGAGUGGGGAAAGGCUAAUGCAUAAACAGCCGUGCUUGAGGAGCGCAUUAAAGAGUGUAGCGGGGAGAGCUGCGGUGCUGACUUCUGUGAUCCUGGGGCAGACUUGGUUCCGACUCGCAACGGGAGAAAUCAAUUGGAAGAGGCCUUAGCCGUGGCGUGCUAACGGGAUUGGCCACAUCGCAGCCAGAAGCACGUUUCCCGUGGGAGCUGGAGAGACGGAGGGAGGAGGGAGGAGAGGGGGUCGGAUCUCUCCUGCCGAGCCUUGUGUAACGCUGCUAGGUUACGUCACAGGUGGGGGAUGCGGGUGUGAGGGGGGGACAAAGCAGACUUCCUGUUGUGAUGGCAAUAUGGGUAGGAGGUCCAGGACAGGAGGACAGGAGGAGCCAUUGGGAGCUGGAGGAGGUAGGCCAAAGACCAGAGAGCAAGGAAUAGACUACCAUGUGACAUAGUUGAUAUAUGUGAGCAGUAGCAAGGGAAGACUAUACUGUAUCUCUAUAACUCCUUAGAUAUGAACAUAUACAUGCACACACAAACACACACACAAACAGAGCAUCUCAGUGUUUUGCGAUUGGCUACUGUGCCUGGAGGUAUAGUAGGAGGAGAGGCAGAGGUAGGGAUGUUCAGCACAGCGUGUGGGCGGCUGGCAGAGAGGCUUGCUACAUUAGCAAUAAAGCUCUAUGUAAUUAGCAUGUCUUUGGUUGAUAAUUAGCGUUGUUGGGAGAGUGGCACUGAGAGGGUUGCACAGCCUCUCCAGCUAUAGUAUGUUUUAAAAGAGGCUCCAUCGCUCUCUCUCUCUCUCACUCUGUUUUUUUCAUUCUAUUCUUCAUUUAUCUGGCCAUGCCUUUCCUCCUUGUUUAGUCACUGCUAUCAUGUUGAUCAAUGAAAAGGAGAGAGAAAAUAUUGAAAGAGAGAGAAUAGGGUGAGAAGAGGGAGAGAAGAGGGAGAGAGAGAAUAGAGAGAGAAGAAGGAGGGAGAGAAAAGGGAGGGAGCAAUGAGGAAGAGAGAAGAGUGAGAGAGAAGAGGGAGAGAGAGAAGUGGAAGGCAGAUAACCCGGUUGAGAAGGGCUAAAUUGACUGUCUCAGCUGAGGAUGACACUUCCACAAAUAUUUGUGAAACCAAAGAGACCAAGACACUAAUGUUGUCCCCAACAGCAUGCUUUGUUUUUACCCUUUUUGACACCAUCAAUUGGAGGGAGAAAAAAACACUUCCAAACUGUAACACCAUGAACAAGCAUUACGACAAAUGGAUUCAAGAUGGCCACCAAAGUCUAACAAAAGAAAAUGACUGUGAUUGGAGCAUAGCAGCCAGGGUAACGAGAGAUUAAUGAUCCCAUCCGAUGGAAAAUGGAGGUUCAAUUGAAACGUGAUCGGCCCAUAUGUUUCUGUGUAUUUAAUAGUUGACUCCAUUGAAGCACUGAAGUGGAUUAUAAUAUUCUUAAACUAUCUCUUUAGAUUCUUAUUAAAAGACAUGACAGCAUCAGAUGCUAGACUAAAGGUGGGAAGGUCAACAUAAUUAAAGUGAAAGAAAAUAAUUUAAAAACGCUCAUUCUUAAGUCUUGUAUAUAGCUUCUUAAAGACACACAUAAGUGUACACACAGUUAGGCUAUCUGAUUGUGUUGUUCUCAGAAUGGCUCUAGCCUCCUCUUGGCAGCUCUACAAUGCAGUUUGCCACUGGCACCAGAUAAAAAGCUCCAACACGCAGAUAGAUUUCCUAUACUCUCAGCCUGCCAGGCUGGCUUCCUGGACAUGUGAGCAGCAUUAGUGUAGAAA